GCCACUGGUUCGCUUGUAUUUACACUCAUAAGAACAAUUCCCAUAGUAAAUGAUACGAAACGAGUUCACAUAAAAACACAAUGCAGUGCUAUAUUGAUAUUUGAGUAUUUAUAUUAAAUUUAAAAAAUUUCCAUUCCCAUUGAGCGUUUCAAGCAUCCUGAUAAGAGGCAAAGAAAAGUUAUAUAUUUGUUGGAGCAGUUUGCGGCAAGUUUAAAUCGAACAGGUGCAUGGCAGUGGCGUAACUCAGUGCUUAAAGUGAAUGUACCAAUUUUUGGGCAAAUCUUCACAGCUGCAUAAUUUUGAGUUGUUAGUUUUUCUAUAAUUAUGGCAAUGCUGUUAAGGACUAGAACCCGGAAAGUCGCGCUUGGACUUAGGAUUAUCUGCAUUUGCACCGUCAGUUUCGUGUACUUAGUUAUUGCUCUGCUCUCUAAUAGCAUUAGCAACCCUCAUGCAGUGAAAGAAAGUUCGGGAUACCCGAUGUUUACCUCUCGACAUUUAUUGGCGUUAAAUUCGAUAAACGAUUCUAAUCCUGGCCAAUUCAAUGAAAUAUUCGAUUUAAAACCUUCCACUUUGAGUUGGAAUGAAAGUCGAAAUUGUACCCCGGCGGCCCUGAAUGAGUUUCCUUCGGAUGGGUUAACCAGAGAGCAACGCCAGCAUGGGUGGGUGAUAAUCCAUGUGAUAGUGGUAUGCUAUUUAUUUAUAUUUUUAGCAGUAGUUUGCGAUGACUAUUUCGUGCCGUGUAUAAAAAAGUUGUGCGAUGUUCUACAAUUAAAGGAAGACAUUGCAGGGGCGACUUUUAUGGCAACUGCCAGCUCCAGUGCGGAAAUUUUUGUUAACAGCGUUGGCACUUUUAUAACAGAGGGUGAUUUAGGGUUGGGAACCAUUGUGGGAUCGGCUGUUUUCAACAUACUGGCUGUACCAGCAUGUUGUGGCUUCUUUGGAAAUAUGGCCUUCAAGCUGGAAUGGUUCGCCUUAACUCGCGAUAGCGCAGUUUAUGGUUGUGCGGUGAUCAUCCUUAUUUGCUUUUUGCAAGAUGGAAUUAUUUACUAUUCGGAAGCCUUGACUCUAAUGGUGCUUUAUCUAGGCUACCUCUUAGUGAUGGUCUUUAAUGACACUAUUAGUUCCUGGUUUCAUAGAACCAUCGCCAAAUUGAGGAAUAGAGGCUUCUAUAAGGAAGUGAUGGCAGAAAAUCAGCCGCUCCUGCUGAAAGCAAACGAAAAACUCAACAAUAACUACAGUGAAUCUGUAGUUGAAUUUUUCCUUUCCGAUGUGACUCUCAAAGAUAUUGAGCAAUCAGAAGAGUCGACUAACAUAUGGAGUUGGCCUAAGGAAGACACGAAAAAGACCAAACUUUGGUGGAUUUUCACCUGGCCUAUAUCUUUCGUGCUGUUCCUUACAACGCCAACAAUAAAAAAAUAUCCCAAAAUGUACAUUGUCACAUUUGCAAUGUGUGUAGCUUGGAUUGGAACGGUCUCUUAUGUGGUUGCUUGGUUAAUUACAAUCAUUGGUGAUACGCUGAACAUUCCAGACUCUGUUAUGGGACUAACAUUUUUAGCUGCUGGAACCAGCGUACCAGAAGCUGUUUCUAGUGUGCUGGUUACAAAUCAAGGGUAUGGUUCAAUGGGAAUAAGUAGUUCGAUUGGUUCGAACACUUUCGAUAUUCUCCUUUGCUUGGGGCUCCCGUGGUUUAUCAAGUCUGCCUUUUACCCUAAAGUGCCAGGCCAACAUUGGAUCACAAUAAAUUCACAAGGGAUAAAUUACAGUGCUGUUUGUUUAUUGACCACUCUUGUCCUGUUCUAUCUCAGCAUCUGUUUCAACAAGUUUCAAUUGGAUUGGAAGAUUGGUCUAGUAUGCCUCGUAAUGUACGUUGGGUUCGUAAUAUUUGCAACCCUAGUCGAGCUCAACGUUUUCUUCAUAGUGAAUCUACCGACGUGCAGUAGAUAACGAUUAAUCCAGUAACCCAACGAGUAAACCUAGUAAUAAGACUUUUACAUGCGUAUUCCUGCUUAAUAUUUAAGUUGGCAUUCGCACUUGCCAUGUGAAUAACUAAUGAGAUAAACCUAGAUUUUUGUAAAAAAAACUUAUUUGAAAUAAAUGAUACAUGACUGAAAUUACAUUAAAAUAAAAAAUACAUUAGUGUUUUAAUUUUGCAAAAGAAACCCACCAAAACGCCAUUGAAAUGUUUCUAACGCCAGUCAACUAAUUGGGCCUGUUUUUACCUUAACAACAAUAAAGCCACUUUUGAUCGUUGAAAACUUCAAGCCGAAAAUGCUAUUUGCCCACCUUUAAAUGGCUGGAAACUAUGGAAAAUAUGUGGAUCGCUCCCCUGUUAUUUGUGCGGCUGGAAAAGUAUCCGGAGACCCCAAAGAUAACGUUGAAUCCGCCUUGAAACAAUAUGGAUUAGUUGAUGAAAUCAACGCGUUGAAACAUGACGCCAACAUCUGGAAAUCCGACCAGUUUAUACCACCGAGAAAACUGCCUCCAAUUCAAGGCGCCCAGUUUUUAGGAACAAACACCCAGGUCAAUUUUGAUCCAACUUGAUGUUGGGAAUGCAUUCAAAUGCAAAUUUCUAGGUCAGCAAACUGUUGAAUCCUCCAGUUUUAACAAGAUAUCAGCAUAUGAUUGGCGAUCUAAAAGACACAGUGUAUUCGUCCUACUGGAACGCGGAAAUAGGCAAAGUUCGAGACCCAGUACCAGGACUGCCAGCAGGAAUGAACCCUCUUGAAGUCACCUUUGGAAACCCAUCCAAAAAAGGUUUAAGCAACGCCACAUUGAUGAACUUAUCAGCCUUCCAUAGUUCGUUUUCAGACAUUUCCCUCAAAGAAGUGGUGAAUCCGUCGAAAAGCCACUACGAAGUGCUCAGAGACUGCCAAGUAGGGCAUGAAUUAUACAAGAAAACGCAUAACGAUUACAACCCUUCCGAAAAAGUCCAGCGGGGGUAAACAAGUGAACGCCCGCGCAUAAAACAAGCUUGAAACAUUAUUUCAGAUACAAUAAACCUCCGUUUAAUCCAAAUAAAUGUUACGGACAAAAGACGAAGUAUGACCCAAGAGGCAUUUGGGUGAAAUGCGCUUGCGAUUGGUACCAAAAGGAACCUCUGGUACAUGCCAAUAAACUGCAAGCGGAUUUUUUUAAAAGAACUCGCCCGCGUCUUGGGCAGGUUUUAGCGCCGUUCGUAACAAGACACCUCAUAUCGACUAGCGGCAAAUAAAACGAUUUUCAGAAACAAUAACAUCAGUUUGGUACCAAAGAACCAUACAUUUGGCGAUGCUUCGAAUCAAGACUUCUACGGCGUAGAAGACCUGCUAAAGGACCCAAACGUGCAGCCUUGCGUGUUUAAGCGCGAUGUUCGUCAAUGGAUUGCCAGUUUAAACAAAACAAGGAUGGCCAUCAAACAAAAACGGAUUCACGGUUUUGACAUCGAGGAUUUUUAUAAGAAAGCGCUAUACUUGGACAAGGCAAUUGCGAAUUUUUCAGUGUUUCCUUGGAAAUUGACGAGGAUUUUCAGGCCAAAUCGGGGUUCCUUCCCUUUGAAGAUCUGCGCAAACUGUUCUCUUGCAGCUAUAUAAUGCUGCCGACAGAGCUGGAAUGUCUUUGCUACUACUUGAAUUAUAUUGUCGAUGGCAAGACGGAUUACAGGAAAUUUAUUGACUUGAUUGAUAAUAAUAAGGAGCUGAUCGAUAUGCGGCCAAUAGAAGGUAGAAAGCCUAUUUAAGGCGCCAAAAUAUCCCUCACUUUAUGGACUUGCAGAUGUUCCAAAGGAGAGCAAGUACUACAUUUCUACUUCUCGGGCAGCUGGAUGUGAUUAUUUGGAUGUGAAUAACACUGGUAAGAGUUUCGUCUUCGUUACUCGAGCUUGCAGACUGUAGAAGAAAAUAAUUUCAUUAGCCUUAUCUCUCAUAGUAUGUUCCUCCCGUUUGUUAUUUAAAGUAUGCUUUGCUCAUUGUUCAAAAUGCGACUUAAAAAUGAAAAACACGGAAACGAUCUUUAACCAACCAAAUUUUGCUUACUAUAGACUCAAACAGAAAUAUGCCAACAGCAGGAAUUCCGUCCAUAAGACACGAUUUGCCACGACCCGUAGCCCCAAGUGGUGGUAUAAGGGCAGCAAUUGAAAAUUUUGGGGACGAAACUUCGGCGAAGAGUGUAGUUAAUCCUAGCAUUUACACUAAUUUCGGGUUAACAUAUCGGGACUUUUUCCUGGUAACUAACUAUCUGCGCUUUGAAUGAAAGCAGAAAUAAAUCAAUUUGUUGCGUUCAAUUGAAAGCAACAGUUAGAUAUUUUUUUGAACAGUCAUUCUUCCAGCCAAGAUCAUCGCAAGUGAUUAGAAACCUAUUUGAAAAGCUGGGAUACAAUUUCAUUGAAGGUAAUUUUGAAAAACUGUGGGAAAUGGGAGUGAAAGAAGAUCAGACUGGUCAAGUGUGCAUCGAUACAUUCAAGCGGUUGCUGCAGAGCAAAUGCCAGCCUUUAAGAUUGAGGGUUGAUGAAAAGCAGAUCUAAUGUGAAAAACGAAUAGCCCAAAUAUAUUUCAAUAAUUCCCAAUA
rnacentral:misc_RNA from 1 species